rnacentral:misc_RNA from 1 species
AACGCAUCUUGCGCUCCCUGGUAUUCCGGGGAGCAUGUCUGUUUGAGUGUCAUGAACUCUUCAACCCACUAAUUUCUUGUAAAUUAUGUUGGUGUUUGGAUUUUGAGUGUUGCUGGUCUUUAUUGACGUAGCUCAUUCGUAAUACAUUAGCAUCUCUAAUUCGAAUUCGGAUUGACUCGGCGUAAUAGACUAUUCGCUGAGGACAUACUUUAUUGUGUGGCCGAAUAUGAAAGCGGAAGCUUCUAAUCAAAAUAAGUCAAUUUUUAAGAUUAGACCUCAGAUCAGGCAGGAUUACCCGCUGAACUUAA